GCGAAAGAGGGAGGUCUCCCGAAAGGUGCGGGCAAUGAAGGAGGCCACUGUUACUGCUGCUCAGACUCCCCAGCAAGAAUUGGUAGAGGUACCAAGCUCCCCUCCCCGACCUCAGGAGCAGCCGAUCCCAGAAUUAGAGGUCGUCGUUCCUCCUCCUUAGCAGAUUGAACUUCCACCUCCCCCGCCUCCUCCGAUCUCUUCUAAUGUGGAAAGGGAGUCUUUUGGUCCUACUGUUAGGACGCUUUCUUGGGGCGCUCAGCUCCUGAUCCAAUCACUGGAAAGGAAUCAUUCCACUCGAGGGAACCUCGGCCUAGCCAAAGUUAUGGGCACCUCUAUCUUCUUCCAAGAAGAUCGGAACAGAUUGGCAGAGGAGAGCAUCGAUGAUAUUCUAAUUCAGACAAUGAGCUUGGACUUGGAGGCUAUUGCCAAUCAACAUGUGAUCAGACAGAAAGCCCACGCCUUAAGGAGAGAGAUUCUUUAGGCGGUCCAGGAUGCC
rnacentral:misc_RNA from 1 species